UACGGAGGAGGCAAGCGUUGUCCGGAAUCAUUGGGCGUAAAGAGCGUGUAGGCGGCCCGGUAAGUCCGCUGUGAAAGUCCAGGGCUCAACCCUGGGAUGCCGGUGGAUACUGUCGGGCUCGAGUCCGGAAGAGGAGUGUGGAAUUCCUGGUGUAGCGGUGAAAUGCGCAGAUAUCAGGAGGAACACCAAUGGCGAAGGCAGCACUCUGGGACGUGACUGACGCUGAGACGCGAAAGCGUGGGGAGCAAACAGG
rnacentral:rRNA from 1 species